rnacentral:sRNA from 1 species
CCUUAGCCCUGAUCGUAACGGCAUCCUUUUGUUUUUUUCUUUAAAAAACAAAAGAUACAGUGCAGAGCAGGAGAAAGC